UGGGCAACCUGCCCCCAGACACUGGGAUAACCCGGGGGAAACCCGGGGGCUAAUACCGGAUACUCCGAUCGAACCGCAUGGCUCGAUCGGGAAAGCUCCGACGGUCUGGGAUGGGCCCGCGGCCUAUCAGCUCGUUGGUGGGGUAACGGCCUACCAAGGCGACGACGGGUAGCUGGUCUGAGAGGAUGACCAGCCACAUUGGGACUGAGACACGGCCCAGACUCCUACGGGAG
rnacentral:rRNA from 1 species